rnacentral:tRNA from 1 species
UCAUUAAUAAUUUAUUAAAAUCUUGAUUUUGUAAAUCAAAAAUGAAGAAUUCUUGAU